rnacentral:rRNA from 1 species
GAUGAACGCUGGCGGCGUGCCUAAUACAUGCAAGUCGAGCGAACAGACGAGGAGCUUGCUCCUCUGACGUUAGCGGCGGACGGGUGAGUAACACGUGGAUAACCUACCUAUAAGACUGGGAUAACUUAGGGAAACCGGAGCUAAUACCGGAUAAUAUAUUGAACCGCAUGGUUCAAUAGUGAAAGACGGUUUUGCUGUCACUUAUAGAUGGAUCCGCGCCGCAUUAGCUAGUUGGUAAGGUAACGGCUUACCAAGGCAACGAUGCGUAGCCGACCUGAGAGGGUGAUCGGCCACCCUGGAACGGAGACACGGUCCAGACUCCUACGGGAGGCAGCAGUAGGGAAUCUUCCGCAAUGGGCGAGAGCCUGACGGAGCAACGCCGCGUGAGUGAUGAAGGUCUUCGGAUCGUAAAACUCUGUUAUUAGGGAAGAACAAAUGUGUAAGUAACUAUGCACGUCUUGACGGUACCUAAUCAGAAAGCCACGGCUAACUACGUG